rnacentral:tRNA from 1 species
GAGGGUAUAGCUCAAGACGUAGAGUGCAUGCUUAACAUGCAUGAGGUCCUGGGUUCAAUCCCUAGUACCUCUG